rnacentral:rRNA from 1 species
UACCAGCACCCCGAGUGGUCGGGACGUUUAUUGGGCCUAAAGCAUCCGUAGCCGGUUCUACGAGUCUUCCGUUAAAUCCACCUGCUUAACAGAUGGGCUGCGGAAGAUACUAUGGAGCUAGGAGGCGGGAGAGGCAAGCGGUACUCGAUGGGGUAGGGGUAAAAUCCGUUGAUCCAUUGAAGACCACCAGUGGCGAAGGCGGCUUGCCAGAACGCGCUCGACGGUGAGGGAUGAAAGCUGGGGGGAGCAAACCGGG